rnacentral:rRNA from 1 species
CCUACGGGUGGCAGCAGUGGGGAAUAUUGCACAAUGGGGGAAACCCUGAUGCAGCGACGCCGCGUGAGUGAAGAAGUACUUCGGUAUGUAAAGCUCUAUCAGCAGGGAAGAAAAUGACGGUACCUGAUUAAGCAGCCCCGGCUAACUACGUGCCAGCAGCCGCGGUACUACGUAGGGGGCAAGCGUUAUCCGGAUUUACUGGGUGUAAAGGGAGCGUAGACGGUGAUGCAAGUCAGAAGUGAAAGCCGGGGGCUCAACUCCGGGACUGCUUUUGAAACUGUGUAACUGGAGUGCAGGAGAGGUAAGUGGAAUUCCUGGUGUAGCGGUGAAAUGCGUAGAUAUCAGGAGGAACACCAGUGGCGAAGGCGGCUUACUGGACUGUAACUGACGCUGAGGCUCGAAAGCGUGGGGAGCAAACAGGAUUAGAUACCCUGGUAGUC